UAUGACUGAUCCAGACUGGAGCAACUGAGGAGGAUUGAUAAUUCUCAACAACAUUUUUCAUAUCUGGAGGAAACCUCUGCCCGUAGGUUUCAGGUUUGUGUGUCAACGGUAUUAAUUCUAUUUUCAAAUGAAUUUUUGACAAGACGAAGAUUUCAAUUUUUUCAUAUAUGGCUGUGUGGAAGACUUUCUCCACCCGGCAGGUGACUAAUCCGAUUUUUUUUAUAUAUAUAUUUUUUUAAAAAAUAAAUUUUAAAUUUUACAACCCAUUACAGAGCAUGGGUUAAAUAGCUAGUGUGUGUGUGUAUAAAAUUUGUUAAUUUAUACGAGUACACAUCGAUUUACAACAAUUUGUGUAGCGUUAACACAAGUACCCUUUGGAUGGGACUGAAGCUAAUGGGUAUGUCGGCUUUGGUUAUACGCAGGUAUAAGACAGCUUCGAGGUAGAUGGCAUCCAACGUCCAUGGAGCUCCAUUUAAUUUGUGCCGGAAAAUUUCAACCCAUUUACAUGCACUGAUGAUCAAAACGGAAAGGACAAAAAACUUGUAAGUACUCAGCAUAUUCCAGUAAAAAGUUCUUUGAUUACGCGAAGGGGUAUACAAAUGUACAUAAUUUUCCAAAACCCGGGACAAAAACGUUUCCACCUUAGAAGAAGAUAAGUAUCUAUGGUCUGCAAACAAACAACAAGAACUGAUGUGGGUCAGCAUCAAAAUUGGACCCUUCUUCUUUCUCAUAAAAUUAUGGAUACACUAAGGUUUGGCAGCAUAUGAAAUCCGUAAAGAGCUUCAUUUGAUUUCCACUAGAAAUUUAAUCACCUGUAUAAGCAUACAUUAGUGAAAAUCACAGGUGAGAAUACAAGGAGACUCAUCCACUAAGGUUCAUAUUUGAUGAUAUAUGUACAUAAUCUUCGAACAAACUGCAAAAACAUUAUUAGAUCGAUGAACACAAAAGAGAAAUAUCCUUAUCUAUAUCUACAUGUGGCGGUUUCUAUAUGCAAGUAAAACAUUUAAGAACAACCAAUGUUUCCAAAACCAACAGGCUAAAAAAUUCUUUGUAGACUGUUACCAUGUAGAGCAGAUAACAUGAAAAUCAUCUCUUCAUCACUCCCAUCAUACUCUAUCUGACUCUGCAUCCGAUCAUACUUGGCUAAAAUCUCAUCCGGCAAAACCUUAGCUCUGCAAAGUGGGCAUGUAGCCAAACAUUGUUGCAACCAUUCGUCUAAGCAAUCCUUGUGGAACGUAUGCUUGCAUUUCAACUUCCUUACACUUUCGCCUUCCGAAAAUUCGGACAAGCAUACCGCGCAUUCUAUUGAAUCUUGCUGCCUCAUCAAUUGUUUACUGUAAGAAAUUGUUGGAUUCUUUUCUUCGAUGUGUCUAAGGUACUGAGUGGUGCUAAUUAUUGGUUUAUCGGACUUCAAGGUGCUUCCGAUGACCGACCGGAUUAAAAUUACAAUCUCAAGGAGUAGAAGACUGAGGAAAACUAUGGCCAUGGUAUAUAGGUGGGAGAAGAACUCAGAGAGAGAGGCCAUGGCGGCUGCUGCUGCUGAAGUUAGUGUGUAAAACUAUGAAACUUUAUAAUAGUAUUUAUGAUACGUACGAUUCCACAGUGAAUGUGGCUAGGUGCAAUUCAUCAGGCUUUGGUAUACUUAAUGUUCACUUCCGAACUUGUUGAGAAUGCAUGUGACCUAACUAAAGUGGUGACAUGUGGAAUCUUGGCAUAGAAUUAUCCCUGAUUAGGUUUAAAAGAAAUAUUGUUCUCCUAGUUAAUUAAAUAUUCAAGGAUUUCAGCUA